UACGGGAGGCAGCAGUGAGGAAUAUUGGACAAUGGGCGCAAGCCUGAUCCAGCCAUGCCGCGUGCAGGAUGACGGUCCUAUGGAUUGUAACCUGCUUUUAUACGAGAAGAAACACUCCUUCGUGAAGGAGCUUGACGGUAUCGUAAGAAUAAGGAUCGGCUAACUCCGUGCCAGCAGCCGCGGUAAUACGGAGGAUCCAAGCGUUAUCCGGAAUCAUUGGGUUUAAAGGGUCCGUAGGCGGUUUAAUAAGUCAGUGGUGAAAGCCCAUCGCUCAACGGUGGAACGGCCAUUGAUACUGUUAGACUUGAAUUAUUAGGAAGUAACUAGAAUAUGUAGUGUAGCGGUGAAAUACUUAGAGAUUACAUGGAAUACCAAUUGCGAAGGCAGGUUACUACUAAUUGAUUGACGCUGAUGGACGAAAGCGUGGGUAGCGAACAGGAUUAGAUACCCUGGUAGUCCACGCCGUAAACGAUGGAUACUAGCUGUUGGAAGCAAUUUCAGUGGCUAAGCGAAAGUGAUAAGUAUCCCACCUGGGGAGUACGUUCGCAAGAAUGAAACUCAAAGGAAUUGACGG
rnacentral:rRNA from 1 species